CGCUGUCUCAGAUAGCCAUGCACGUCUAGUACAACUAAUGAUGGUGAAACUGCAAAUGGCUCAUUACAACGGUUAUGAUGUACCCGGGAGUUCCGAUGGAUAUUUCCAGUAACACUACAACUGAUACAUGUCCCUGCGUUUAUUAGUUUCGCACAGUCCGUCGCUGAGUCAUGGUAAACAGUUGAUCGACUCGACGUCCCGGAACAGUUUCCGCCCCAUCAGCUUCGAUGGUUGGGUAUUGGCCUACCAUUGCAACAACGGGUAACGAGGACUUACGGUUUGAUUUCGGAGAGGAAUCCCCAUCCCCGGCUAUUACAUCUAACGAAGGAACUAGGUUCUCAUAUUAACCAGUGGAAACAAUAGCAGCUACCAAAUCCAAAGAAGACAGCGGGACCUCUGUUUAUUCCCUAUCCACACCAAAAGGCAGUGACAGAAACUAACAACCAUUGACCCAUCUCUCGUUUCCGAAAAAAGUAAAAAUUAUAUCUCUCUUCUAUAAU
rnacentral:rRNA from 1 species